AACUUUUAGCAACGGAUCACUUGGUUCUGGCAUCGAUGAAGAACGCAGCGAAAUGCGAUAAGUAAUGUGAAUUGCAGAAUUCAGUGAAUCAUCGAAGCUUUGAACGCACAUUGCGCCCGCCAGUAUUCUGGCGGGCAUGCCUGUCUGAGCGUCAUUGCAACCCUCAUGCCCCUAGGGCGUGGUGUUGGGGAUCGGCCAAAGCCCGCGAGGGACGGCCGGCCCCUAAAUCUAGUGGCGCACCCGUCGUGCCCUCCUCUGCGAAGUAGUAAUAUUCCGCAUCGGACAGCGACGAGCCCCUGCCGUUAAACCCCCAACUUUCCAAGGUUGACCUCAGAUCAGGUAGGAAUACCCGCUGAACUUAAGCAUAUCAAUAAGCGGAGGCU
rnacentral:misc_RNA from 1 species